rnacentral:rRNA from 1 species
GCUGCAUGGCUGUCGUCAGCUCGUGUCGUGAGAUGUUCGGUUAAGUCCGGCAACGAGCGCAACCCACAUCUUUAGUUGCCAGCAGUUCGGCUGGGCACUCUAGAGAAACUGCCCGUGAUAAGCGGGAGGAAGGUGUGGAUGACGUCAAGUCCUCAUGGCCCUUACGGGUUGGGCUACACACGUGCUACAAUGGCAGUGACAGAGGGACGCAAGUCAGCGAUGGCGAGCUAAUCUCAAAAAGCUGUCUCAGUUCGGAUUGUUCUCUGCAACUCGAGAGCAUGAAGUCGGAAUCGCUAGUAAUCGCUUAUCAGCAUGAAGCGGUGAAUACGUUCCCGGGCCUUGUACACACCGCC